rnacentral:rRNA from 1 species
GCGAGUGAAGCGGCAAUAGCUCAAAUUUGAAAUCUGGCGUCUUCGGCGUCCGAGUUGUAAUUUGAAGAAGGUAUCUUUGGUUUUGGCUCUUGUCUAUGUUUCUUGGAACAGGACGUCACAGAGGGUGAGAAUCCCGUGCGAUAAGAUGCCCAAUUCCAUGUAAAGUUCCUUCGACGAGUCGAGUUGUUUGGGAAUGCAGCUCUAAGUGGGUGGUAAAUUCCAUCUAAAGCUAAAUAUUGGCGAGAGACCGAUAGCGAACAAGUACUGUGAAGGAAAGAUGAAAAGAACUUUGAAAAGAGAGUGAAAAAGUACGUGAAAUUGUUGAAAGGGAAGGGCUUGAGGUCAGACUUGGUUUACCAGGCCAGCAUCAGUUUGGAUGGCAGGAUAAUAGCAGGGGAAAGUGGCACCACUUCGGUGGUGUGUUAUAGCCUUUGUUGAUACUGCCUGUCUAGACUGAGGACUGCGUCUUUGACUAGGAUGCUGGCAUAAUGACCUUAAGCCGCCC